CAAGAAUCUAGCAAAUGCAUCAGUCAAAGUUAAAACUUUUCAUGAACAACAUAUAUCAAAAUCAAGAUGAAGAAUGAAGAAAUUCUUUGCUAUAAAGCAAAGCAAGCCUAAUAGAGAUUUCAUUCUGUCUUGUAUGAUUGUUUCUUUAGAUUUUUUAGUGCUUAAGAGGUAGAUAACCAACAACCAACAUAUUCAACUUAAGAGCUAUCAUUUGCUGAGCUAUCAAACAAGACAUUACAAUUAUCUCAACCUUUGAGAUGACAAAAUCAAGAUGAAGACCCUCAAGAAUGACAUAUUCUUCUUUGAAUAGAUGGCAAGAUACAAUACAUUUAAUACCAUGAUCUUGGAAGGGACUUCCGAUGUUUAGAGAUACUUUUGAAAGUAAGAACCACUCUUGAUGGUAUUACUAAUGUUUUAUUUGAAAGAAGUUAUGAAGGCCUCAAUAAUGAUCAAAUAUUAGGGCGGUCUUCUCGCCUUGGUAUGAGACAUUAUUGAUGGUUGAAGGAAACAAAGAUCAGAGUAUGUGGCAAAUAUAGUUUGGCGCAUCUUAGACUUCAUCAAUAUGUAAUCAACGCUAC
rnacentral:lncRNA from 1 species